CUGGCUCUGUGGCCACAGAUGAGCUCUGGAUCCACUCGCUCUCUGGCUCCUGGGGAUGGGCAGCCUCAGGCAAGCCACUUCACAGUUCUGAACCUCACUUUCUUAUGAAAUAAAGAAAACAGACUCCAGCAGGAUGAGUUGCCCUCAGGAUUGAAGAUCAUAAUCUACGUGAGCUACGUGCCUUUCUGUCUGUGUGUACACGUUUCCAACAAGCAGCAAUGAUUCAGAGGGCACUAAUUCAGUGUUCAUGUGACUGUAUAGAAUGCAACUGUUCGGAUGAGAAUUGACUCUACUAAUCUUAUGGCCCAGGUGGUAGAGGAAUCGUCAUCUACUUCUGAAAGCGAGCAGAGAGCAGGGUAAUCUGCUUAGGACUCAUCUUCCCAAGUUUGUAUAUUUACACUUUUGUCUAUUAUCUGAGUUUCACAAAGACUUAGAUGUGGUAGACCUGACACUUAAAGAUCACCUGUCUCUUUUCUUUCUGCUACCCCACCAUGGACCUUUUCUUUAAAUGAAAUCUGAUGUGAAAAUUUUAAUAUAUAAAUCAGAUAAAAGAAGAGCUGUAUCUUUGACAGAAGGGGCCCAGGGGAACCUGGAGUCUUGACAGCUGGGAUUUUCCUUAGUUCUUUCUACCCCCACCCUGAAAGGACCCCUGGGGCACUUGAGAGAACUUAAAAGAAGUUGAAGACUACUGAUUUAGCCUGACAUCCUCAUGGUCCAUGUAAUUGCAGACUCAGAGAGGUAAAUUCCCUCUGAGUGAAAUUAACAAAGUCCUAAAUAUAGAAGCCUCCAAUUCCUAUGAGAUAACUGGUCCCUCCCAAGUUGCCUACCCGAGGUACCUAAUGGCCAACCACAUCUUGCCUCAAAUCUGCCUUCUUUAUUCCAAAAAUACAGCAUCUCAGACAGAGUAAGGAAGGAUUCUUCUUCUUUGUUGACAAGGAAGACAUCACAAAUAUUUGCUGAUUUCAAUCCUAAAAUAGGAAAUAUUUAACGCUUUACUCUGUAUAUAAAUUCUGGCCGGUUGUAAUCCAAUUCAUAAUAUCAAGGGGGAAACCUUGGAUUUCAAGCUCAUAGAGCUCUCAUGAAAAAUAUAGAGAACUAUAAAGCUGUGUUAUAAAAGCUUGCUAUUCUCUCCUUGUUUUAAAAUUUUAAAUUAUAGCUCUUUUUGUCUGGGGGUGCAGUUCAGUGGUAGAGUGUGUGCUUAGCAUGAGCAAGGCCCUGGGUUCCGU
rnacentral:lncRNA from 1 species